GUCUUGAGAGAGCUUGAGUGUCGAUCUAGGAUCAGGUAUGUUUGAACAGGAGUGUUACUAUCCAUUAGGUUGGUUCCCCAACACUGUUACUAUCCAUUCUACCAUUCGGUUGGUACCCCAACACUGUUACUAUCCAUUCUACCAUUAGGUUGGUUCCCCAACACUGUUACUAUCCAUUCUACCAUUAGGUUGGUACCCCAACACUGUUACUAUCCAUUCUACCAUUAGGUUGGUACCCCAACACUGUUACUAUCCAUUCUACCAUUAGGUUGGUACCCCAACACUGUUACUAUCCAUUCUACCAUUAGGUUGGUUCCCCAACACUGUUACUAUCCAUUCUACCAUUAGGUUGGUUCCCCAACACUGUUACUAUCCAUUCUACCAUUAGGUUGGUUCCCCAACACUGUUACUAUCCAUUCUACCAUUAGGUUGGUACCCCAACACUGUUACUAUCCAUUCUACCAUUAGGUCGGUACCCCAACACUGUUACUAUCCAUUCUACCAUUAGGUCGGUACCCCAACACUGUUACUAUCCAUUCUACCAUUAGGUCGGUACCCCAACACUGUUACUAUCCAUUCUACCAUUAGGUUGGUACCCCAACACUGUUACUAUCCAUUCUACCAUUAGGUUGGUACCCCAACACUGUUACUAUCCAUUCUAC